rnacentral:rRNA from 1 species
UACGGAGGGUGCGAGCGUUGUCCGGAAUCAUUGGGCGUAAAGGGCGCGUAGGUGGCGGGACAAGCGUGCGGUGAAAGCCUGGGGCUCAACCCCGGGUCGGCCGUGCGAACUGUUUUGCUUGAGCACUGUAGAGGCAGGCGGAAUUCCGGGUGUAGUGGUGGAAUGCGUAGAGAUCCGGAAGAACACCGGUGGCGAAGGCGGCCUGCUGGGCAGUAGCUGACACUGAGGCGCGACAGCGUGGGGAGCAAACAGG